UACGUAGGGGGCAAGCGUUGUCCGGAAUCAUUGGGCGUAAAGCGCGCGUAGGCGGCUCGGUAAGUCCGCUGUGAAAGUCCAGGGCUCAACCCUGGGAUGCCGGUGGAUACUGUCGGGCUCGAGUCCGGAAGAGGCGAGUGGAAUUCCUGGUGUAGCGGUGAAAUGCGCAGAUAUCAGGAGGAGCACCGAUGGCGAAGGCAGCUCGCUGGGACGUGACUGACGCUGAGACGCGAAAGCGUGGGGAGCAAACAGG
rnacentral:rRNA from 1 species